rnacentral:lncRNA from 1 species
AUGUAUGAAUUUUGUUGCAUUAUAAUGUGCUUCAUCACGAUAGCAUCUGGUAAACAAAUACCCAAAGUUGCAAUAAUUGGAGGUGGAAUUGGAGGAACAUCCACUGCUCACUUCUUGAUUGAUUUAUUUGGAAGGAAAAAUAUCGACAUUGAUAUUUAUGAAGCAAACAAAAUUGGAGGCCGUCUUGCAACUGCCAAAGUUGGUGACUUUGAAUAUGAGACAGGAGGCUCAGUAAUUCACACGAGUAAUAAAUAUAUGGAAGAUCUCAUAUCUACUUUAGGUAAGUUAUCGCUCUAUUUCAUUCCCUGUUUUCAAUGUCUAAUUUCAUGCAAAGGCAGACUGGAGAAUAAGGAGAGUCUGUUGGUUUUCUUUUUUUUUUUUAUAUUUAUAAAAACGGCUGGGAUCAUCUUUUAAAGCCAUAUGGGGAGGAAUAGGACCUCCAAAGGCGGCUCUAUAGCACUUUUUAAAUGAUUCGAUAGUGGACUGAUAAAUUAAUGAAUUCUGGAUUUUAGGACACUUCUUCAAAAUCUCUGGACGUAACAUCAAACUGAAGUACCUCAGGUAUUUUCACACAAGAUGAAAUGACUCCGAAAGAAAGUCUGAAAAUAAUAAGUAUCUCAAAUCUUUUCGUUGCUCAAUUUGCUUCAUUCACCAAGGACGUGCUUGUGAAGUUAUUUUAAAAAGUUUCAUGGUUAAAUUUUUUGUUAAAUUUUCAUGGUCAAAAAUAGUGUAAUGUGACAAUGAAGUGUGAUUUCUGGAAAAAUGUUCUAAAAUCCAGAAAUGACCCAUUAACCUUUCGACUAGGUAUGGAAUUUUGCUCGGAAGUGGUGAAGAUCCAUCGAAAACUCAUACUUAAAAUAUGCAUGAGUUGUAGGACAUUAACUACUUCAAUAUUGCCUCAUAAGUUACAAAAUAAUUUUGAAGAAGGAAGAGUAAAUGGAAACUGAAUAUAUUGUUUGGAAUAAAAUAGUAAAUGCCAGGUUGCCUAGCAACUAGAAAAACUGGAAAAGUCAGGGAGAGAAAAUGUAUAAAACUGGCUGAGUUCCUGACGGACCUGCAAAUUAUGAUUUUUCCAAAACUUCAUGGCACUUGGAUACUGAUCCCUAUAGCUUUUCCUCCCAGUCUGUAGUGCACUAACAUUCUGUCUUGACUUGCCAAGCUGAGUAAAAUGUUGCCAUCAGCAACAACAGCAGAUAUGAAAAAAAAUCACUAUAUGACAUUAACUGUUCAACAGGCAUCCUCUUGUUGAAUUCCAAGUCAAAGGUGGACGGACUUUUGUUGAGAACUGUUCCUUUUUUCUCCACAUGAUAACCAUGCGUUUCCCUCUUCAUUUCAUGUAGAAUUAUUUGAAAGCGCAUUUUUAUAGUUGAUGUAACCAACUGAUUUACAGGUUUAAAAAGCGUUCACACUGCUCCAGUCAAGAAAAUUUUGGGCUGUAUGACGGUAGCAAAUUUGUGUUCAUUGAAAGCGAUUGGGCCUGGGUGACAAUGAUAAAAUUGGCAUGGCGUUAUGGAUUCAGCCUAUCAAAAAUAACGGAUAACAUUGACACCAUGCUUUCUCGGUUUGCAAGGUGAGAAGUUGUUUCUCUCUCAAUUUCAUAUUCCCAAAGAGCUGUUAAUGUUUAAAAUUGUUAAGUAUAACUGUAAAUGACUUUCAAUUUAAGGGCUCACAACAAUCUACAUUCCUUUACCUGUAAAACAUCGCUUUUUGUUAGAUUUCAGACGGUUCAGUGUGUCAAAAUAGAGGAUUUGAUUUUUUUGUGGUUUCACAAAUCUCUUAGGAACCAUUUUUAAUUUCUAUUUAAGGUUUAUCAAAAAAGAAUGCUGUUCUGAGCAGCAGGUCUUGUCAUUGUGUUUCAUAUGUUUGGCCUAAUUCGGUGUUGCAGACGUAAAGCUACUUCAAAAGUGUAAGGUCACCAAUGAGAUCAUUCCUCUUAGCAGGUGAUCAUUGUAGUCAUGAACAAAGUACGUAGUUUACAAUUGUAAACAAUUUAAAAAUACUUAUCCUUUAAUGAAAACAAACUACCUAUCAUUAAUAUAUAUAGGAGUAUAAGGAGGAGUUCAUUAGCUAAAUUAUCUGUUAGUUCAAAUACAUAUAUUUUUAAAAUCUUUACAAAAAAUGUAUUCAUUUCAGAAUCUACGAGCUCCAGGCUAAUCAUAAAA